GACGAACGCUGGCGGCGUGCUUAACACAUGCAAGUCGAACGGAAAGGCCCUGCUUUUGUGGGGUGCUCGAGUGGCGAACGGGUGAGUAACACGUGAGUAACCUGCCCUUGACUUUGGGAUAACUUCAGGAAACUGGGGCUAAUACCGGAUAGGAGCUCCUGCUGCAUGGUGGGGGUUGGAAAGUUUCGGCGGUUGGGGAUGGACUCGCGGCUUAUCAGCUUGUUGGUGGGGUAGUGGCUUACCAAGGCUUUGACGGGUAGCCGGCCUGAGAGGGUGACCGGCCACAUUGGGACUAAGAUAGGCCCCAGACUCCAACGGGGGGCAGAGGGGGGAAAUAUGGCACAGUGGGCGGGAGCCGGAGACGGCAACGCCGGGGGCGGGAUGACGGCUUUCGGGUUGAAAACCGCUUUCGCCUGUGACGAAGCUGGAGUGACGGUAAUGAAUAAAGAAGCACCGGCUAACUACGUG
rnacentral:rRNA from 1 species